AGCUUUAGUUCUCUUUCACUUUUCCCAGCCUUUGCAGACUCUCUUUGCUGUGCGAGUGCAAUAGGCAUAUAUUGCUUGCGCCGCGAAAACGGGAUAGCCUCAGUCAGUUCGGACUGCUCGCACCUUGAAAGCUCAUCUGCCACUUGUGACGCCUAGGAUGAAACAAUGAGCCUAAAUAAAUCGAACUGUCGUGAAUUUGUCAACAUGAGGAAAACAACCGAAGCAAUUCCAACUCAAAGUAAAGGUUUUAGCGACCUCUUUUACAACGGAAAAUUUAAAUAAUUCAAAAUAAUUUAUGCAUACACACUGUUAAGUUUACAAAUUAUUUACAAGCCAGAGAAUUGGUCAUUAAAGUAACGGUUGUAUUUUACAGCCUAAACCAUAAAAAUCGAAAAAUUUAGUCAUCAAAGAGCUUGCCUUGCGGUUUAUUUCUAAGCAUCCGCUGCUCGUAGAGUAAAAAGAUUUACUAGAUUCCUUAAAAGGCUUGAGUGCCCUUUAGCCAUAGUAAGCAUCUUACUAUGUUGGCCGAAAACAGAAAGCCAAUAUUUCCGCAAAGCUCCAGCCGCAUAAUAAUGGCAACAGUUUCGCUUCUCACGCUUCGCUGAUUAACAUGUGAAUCACGUCAGGUGAGGACACUAUAAAAAAAGGUGACUGCGUAUAAGAUUUACAAACUCCAAGAAAAUAUUAAUACAUAAUAAAUGAAUUUGGUAUCAGCAUCGGUCCUCAGCGAUCCUAAUGAUUAAUAUAUGCAUUUUUUUUUUAAAUUUUUAUUCAUCUUUAUACAUUGUUCAGCAGAAAAGAUUAUAAUUCUUAUGUUGGCAAAAAGUUUAAGUUUAAGUUCGAAGUGCAUUCCCACGCAUAAAGCAACAAGAGACUGCACAGCUAAUUGAAAUUUAAUUUAAUGACCGUUCUGAGCACGUGGAAAAGCAGCGUUGCGAUGCAGCCAGGCGUUGGAAAAUUCGUGGAACUUGAUGCGCCUUCCAUCGCUAAUUAAAUUAGCAGCCGUAUGCAUGCAGGAAGCGAUUUAUGAAUUACAUUCCCGUCCAAAAAGGUGCAACACGGAAUGAGGAGAAUGGAAAACACUGCACUGACCUAACCGUAAAUGUGCCACACAAUACAAGAAUUUUCCUAAUUGAACAUGUGUCCGACAUUCAGGUGCAUACUACAUAGUUCAUUAAUAUUGCGGGCCGCAGUGGGGAAGGUUUAUUGGAAAUUAAAAGCCAACUUCAUUUGCGUUCUAGCCAGCACUUUUGUGUGCUACUCGCUCUCUGCCACGACAGUUUUCCAUUUUCCCGGUGCCAGCUAAUUUAAAUUUUUUGCUUGUUGGCUGCGGAAUUUAUGCCUGACAGCGAAUGGAGACCACACAAAUUGAGGCAUAAAUUCGGUUGCAUUUCUAUUUUUCUUUGUUAAUUUAAACAUUGCUUUGGCCACGAGUAUUAUUAUGAAAUAAAUAAUCCAGAUUACGGAUUUUUCUUCGCUGAACAAGUUUGCUAAUUUUCACAUCUACGACUGUAUCUAAUUCAAAAUCGAUUUGAAUACCAAUUUGAAUAAAAACUUUCGACAAGUCGUUGAAGCUGAAAA